CUGGGUCUUAGAAGGUUAAUUUUUGAAAACUGCCUCUCUGUGGCUCCCUUGCCAGCCAGCCUCUGCUUAGAAGCAGCCAGUGGACUGAGAAAUGAAGGCAAAAGGAGAAUGACAGCUAAUUAUCCUGGCCUGUCUUCAGCAAGAAUCCCCCCUACCUUGAUGUCUUCUCUUAGUGAUUUUUCAUCCACCAAUCCCCCUCAUCUACUCGUUGGCUAUAAAUCCCCAGUGUUCUAGCUGUACGUGGAAUUGAGUCCAGUCCUAGACUGAAGGCUCUUUUCUGCUGUUGCAGCAGUCCCUGAAUAACAUCUGUUUUUAUCACUUUCAA